CCCAUAGAACUGGACAAGUAAUACUUAACUAUCUUGUUGACUCUGGGGUCCUUCAAGCAAAUUUUAAAAAUAUUUUUACCAGAUUUCCAAGUUGUCCUUAGCUUGAGGGUUGGUCCUCCAUUACUGUCAUUGGACUAUCCCUCAUGGGUAGUGCAGUUCAACUUCUAAACCACCUCAGUACCUGAAUGUGGUCCGAGGUGAAACCAGAUUACUGAUGCCUUCAGGUGCCCAAUUGAAGCAAAUGGCAAAUUCUGUGGAGGAAGUAAACAUAACCCAAGGCCUCAAAUUAUUUCUGCAGUGUUGCAAUCAGAAAUACCCAGGUAUGGGAGAAGACCAGACAACAUUAAUUACUUGAAUUAAAACCAUUAGAGGAAAACACAGACAAUAGAAAUAUCCAAACAGACUCCAGAUAAAGUUGUCGCAGAAUUUAAAACAGCUAUGGUUACUGUGUUCAAAAAAAUGAGACGCAUGGUCAAGAAUUUCAACAGAGAGUUAGAAACUGUAAAAGGCGCAUUGGAAAUUCUAUAACUAAAGUACUGUAAUGAGAAGAACAGUGAACAGGUUUAAGAGCAGAUUAGAAAUAACUGAAAAGAGAAUGAGUAAGAUGAAAAAUUGAGGGUGAGGGGUGGGAGCAGGAAUUAUAUAGUAAAAAAAACAGAACAUGGAGAAUAGAGGGUAAGAGACUUAAAGGGUACAGUGAGCAUGUCUGACCUGCUCAGACAUGCAGGGUAGUUGGCAUCUCAAAAGAGUAGAAGAAAGGAAUAUUUAAACAAAUGGCUGAGAACUUUUCCAAAACUCAUGAAAGAUAUCCACCUAGAAACAUCAUAGUAAAACUGUUGAAGACCAAAGAAAAAUAAUAUUUUAGACCUGCUGGGGUGGGAGAGGGAAUAUAACCAUUAAAGGAGCAAUAAUAUUAGACUGACAGCUCCUUCUCAGCAGAAACAAUGGAAGACAGUGAAAUACUGCCUUUUAUGGUUCUGAAAGAAAAUGACUGCCAACCUAAAAAUUUCUAAUCAGGGAAAAUAUCCUGCAAAAAUGAAGAGGAUAUGAAGACAUUUUUAGAGAAACAGCUAGAAGAAUUAAUCAGCACGCCUACCCUAAAGGAAAAUUUAAAAGGUGUUUUACAGGCAGAAGGAAAAUAAUCCCAAACGUAAGGACAGAGCCCUAGGAAAGAUUGAAGAGCAAUGAAAAUGACACAUAAAUAUUGACUACAUAAAACAAUAAUUAUGUCUUAUGGAGUUUUAAAUAUAUAGAGAAAUAAAAUGUAUGAAAAUGAAAGGAUUUAUGUGGGAAUUUUAAGUGUUCUAAGACACUUGGCAUCAUCCAAGAAGAGAGUAAAAAUUCAUUUAAUAUUAGUCUUUGAUAACUCAUGUAUGCAUGAUAAUAUUUGAGAUAUCAAUAAAAGUGUAUAGCUUUCCACAUAAUAAGAGAGAAUUCGAAUAAUCAAUUCAGUGGAAGAUUUAAGAAUUGCAAACACACACACACACAAAUUAGCUGAGCAUGGUGGUGUGUGCCUGUAGUCCCAGCUACUGGAGAGGCUAAGGUAGGAGGAUUACCUGAGCCCAGGAGGUAGAGGCUGCAGUGAGCUGUGGUCAUGGCACCACACUCCAGCCUGGGCAAUGGAGUGAGAGACCGUGUCUCAAAAAUAUGUAUACAUAUUUAAGAGAAUAUUAUGAAUACCAAUAAAUUUUAAAUCUAGUUGAAAUGAUCUUUAUUGCAGUGAUAGGUGUAUACAUAUGUCUAAUCAAAUUGUACACUUUAUUACAUAUGUGCAGUUUUAUAUAUUAAGUAUGCCUCAUUAAAGUUGUUUUUAGAUUUUGCAUAAAAUGAACAAAUUCUUUAAAAAAAAAAAAAAACUCUCCAAAACUGACAUGAAACGAUCCUGAACAUUGGAAUCAUCCUAUAUCUAGCGCAUACAUUGAGUCCAUAAUUACAAUCUGCCACAGGAAAUUUACAGACCAAGAUGGCUUCAGUAGUGAAUUUAACCAAACAUUUAAGAGUGAAAUAAUGCCAGUUUUAGACAGUCUCCCAGAAAAUAGAAAAACCUUCUAAUUUGUUUUAUGAAAACAGCUUAACCUUAGCAUGCUACUAUAAAGACACAUGAACAUGUAUGUUUAUUGUGGCACUAUUCACAAUAGCAAAGACUUGGAACCAACCCAAAUGUCCAUCAAUGAUAGACUGGAUUAAGAAAAUGUGGCACAUAUACACCAUGGAAUACUAUGCAGCCAUAAAAAAGGAUGAGUUCAUGUCCUUUGUAGGGACAUGGAUGAAGCUAGAAACCAUCAUUCUGAGCAAACUAUCCCAAGGACAGAAAACCAAACACCACAUGUUCUCACUCAUAGGUGGGAAUUGAACAAUGAGAACACUUGGUCACAGGGUCAGGAACAUCACACACUGGGGCCUGUCGUGGGGUGGGGGGAGGGGGGAGGGAUAGCAUUAGGAGAUAUACCUAAUGUAAAUGAUGAGUUAACGGGUGCAGCACACCAACAUGUCACAUGUAUACAUAUGUAACAAAUCUGCACGUUGUGCACAUGUACCCUAGAACUUAAAGUAUAAUAAAAAAAUAAAUAAUAAAACAAAUACUCAGAGAUCAAUCUAAAAUAAAGUGUGAUUGAAACUAAAGAUCUAAAUAAGGGUUCCCUAAAUCUCAUUGACCAGUUUAAAUCCCGCCUCCUCCAGGAAGCUGUCCUGGAUCAGCCCAGCUCCAGUAUCCUUCCUUCCCGGGCUCCCAAAGCUCAACCACAGUCCUGCCAUUCCCUUUUGUCUACCAUGGGCCCUGCCAUCAGGCAGGGAAGGGUGUGUCCCCUCCGUGGGGCGUGGCGGCUGAACCCAGGUUUCCCGGAGCUCCUGGCUUUGACCUAAGCCUGAGCGUCCCUCCCACAGGCCGGAGCUCUCUCGUUGGUGCUGCACCUCCAUCCGGGGCUACAUGUCCCCUCCACCUUUCUCACCCAACACUGGACGGCAGGGAAGCCCUGUGAGGGAAGAGGGGGUGAGUUAGGGCCCCUGGGGGCUGCGUGCUGCAGAUGGAGGUGGGGGACCACACUAGCUGUGCGCUUUGCCUGGAGAGGUGGGGAUGGGAUGUCCUGGUGAAGGGCUAGAGGGGUAGCCAGGGCCCAGCUGUGGCAGUGGGGGCAGUGGCACUGGACUCCAGUGUGGUGACCAUGCCGGCCCUGGAGGGGUCUGAGCCGGGGCAUGGCUUGGCAAAGGUCAUGGUGGAACUGGACAGCUGUGUGGGAGCGGAGGGGAGGCCAGGGUAGGCAGGGCCCUCACAGGCAAUUGCAGCCAGGCCCUGACGACUGCAAGGGUUCCCAUGCCAGGCCUGGGACACUGGUGCCCCAGAGCCCAGGCCUGGAGGGGCCCCUUGCAGGUGUGUGCCCAAUGCCAAGGGCGCUCUGGGGCGGCCCCGCCUGAGGACCCUACCCUAGAGACUGGUUCCCCAACCUGCACCCAGAACUCCAGUCCCUUGGCGGGCAGGAGUCCCUCCCACCCCUGCCGUGGCCUGAGCGGUUCCCCAGCCAUGUCCUGGGCGGUGAGGAGAUGAACCAGACAGCCCUCUGCAGAAGGCCUGCCCCGAACGCCCCAGCUGGCGGCCCCCUGCUCACGCCUGGCUGCGGGGGUCUGAGGUGUCGGAGGAGCCGGCAGAUCCUGGGGCACAGCAAUCCCCGGGCUGAGGAUCAGUUCCCGGGACACUUCAAGUCCCUGCUCUGUCCUUUCCCAGGACGAGGACACGCCCUCUCUAGACCUCACUCUGUUUCGGCGCGGUUUAAUAGAAUCCUCCUCAGGCUGCUGCUGUGGAGGUUAGAUGUGAACAUGCGUGGAGAGGACUUGGUGGCGCUCUCGGUAGUGGAGGCUUAGCAGAUGACACCGUUAACCCCAGGCCCAGGGUACAGUGGCCUCUGUCCCUCAGCCAUGCAGGCUGAGCUCAGGUCGGGGAUGAGAAUAAGCGAGGCCAGGGCACCCCCAGGCCAGGGAUAGAGGCCUGGCCCAAGGCUUUGCCACCAGGGAACCCUGCUUAUCCUUGUAGGGUGCGAGGGGCAGGGUCUGCCGGAGAAGGGGCCUGCUGACCACAGCUAGGGAGAUGCAGAGGUUUCCUGGGGUUACCAGCCUCCAAGGGCAAAGCCACCCCAGAGCUGGGGACAUGGCGGCCCUGGAAAUGAAGAUGGCGGCCUUGGAAAUGAAGCGAGGCUGCCUGGGCCUCUCUUCCCUCACCCUGAGCAGGGCCAUUGCUUCGUAAGGACUGGCAGAACUGCCUCAGGGCCUCUGGGCCAGCCAAGGCCUGCUGAAGGGGCCCUAGGAGUUCACGGUUGCACGAAGCCCAGCCCCUCCUGGAAAGGCGCAGACUCAGGCCCAGACCCAGGCCCCUUAGGCAUCAGGAGCUCAGCUCGGCUGCUCCUGCAGGCCCGCCUGUCCCUUAGAGCUAUAAUCCACUUCUAGUUGAUGGUGGAUAAUACUUCGAAAGAGCCUGCAGGCCCAAUGAAUAGCAGAGGCUUUUGUUAGCCUUUUAGAAUGUAGGGAUGCAGCAUGAGAAAUAAAUCUGGAAGAGUAAGUCAUCGGGCAGAGGGUCAUAAAUGCAUUUGGAUUGGGCUGUGAUGGAGAAAUCCAAGAAUCUGUGCAAAGGGAAGGAAAAAGCAUGCCAGGUGCCAGGAAUAGAAAUAGCCAAGCAGGGAGGUGGGAAGGUUCGAGAAGGAAAGUCAGACCCUCUCCAAGCAUUACAACAUUCAGCCUUCCCGAGAGCUCACUUCAUAGAGGAGACACUGGAGCCUAAAGCACUGAAUAACCUUCCCCGAGGCUGUGCAGCAGCGAGGGGUGGAGAAGGAAUUCCCCUCUGUGAACGGCCAGCCUGCGGCCUCCCCAGCCUGACUCUCUAUAGGGUGAAGUGUGGGCUGUGGGCUGUGGGCUGGGCGCCUGGGAGGAGGAGUGGGGCACAGAGGGAACGGGUGGCCUGGAUCACGCACCCAAUAGUCCAGCCUUGAAAACUCCAGGAAAUUGACCCAGGGUGAAAAAUAGAGAGACACACCGGCAAAGUCAAACCAUAGUGGAAAAACAUGUGAAGUCCAGCAAGAAGUGAUUGUCAUCAAAUCAGAACGGUGGCUACUUAUUAGGGGGAAGGAGACACGAAGCUACUGAAUAAUCAAGAAAUGAAAGAUGGGUCCAUCACAAACCAGACAAUUGCUUGGGACUCCGAGGACGUCCUGUCGGCAGUUCUCAAUGCAGAGGAACCCAUGUGGAUGCGUGGCUUGCGCCUAGGCUGAUCCCCGGCCUGGCUCCAGGCGGGCAUCACUGUCUGCCCUGUACUCUGCCUUCCCGCCGUCCUCACCAGCUUGGAGGAUUCUGAAAGGGAGCCCAUGCCUAGGAGGUCUGGCGGCUUCUCCUGCCAUCCUAUUUCUGGGCCUGGC
rnacentral:lncRNA from 1 species